CUCCAUGGAAAGUAGUCCUGGAGCUGGAGUAGGCAGUGAUGUUCUUGUGUUGGUCAUGGGCAGCUCCUUUCUGUGCAAGGCAAGUUCAUUGCCUGGGAUGAAUAGCAGGGGACAACAGCACAAACAUCCAAUGCCAUAACCAGUAAAGCUGCUCGAAGGUUGUGAUUCAGAUUUAUAUUUUCUCAUCGUAGAACCUUUGAGAUUAUUCUCCUUGCAUGUUUUCCAUGCUCACUGCUAAGUACCCGUGACUAGCAGUAUGUCUCCACAAGUCUGCUGUUCUCCAGGCUGGAUUUCACCUUGUUAACAGCAGCUUGCUUGCUCAUCCUCAUUCAUUUCCCCCUCUCAGUGUAUAAAGGUUUUCAAAGUGUUUUUGCUUUUGUCAGCACCGACAAAUAUUGGGAAGUUGCUUGCAAAGCAAUAAAGACAAAAUGUUGCAUAAAGCGUUUGAUCAAAGUUGCCAACUUCAAAAAUCUUCCAGGAAGGUUGCAGUUCCCCUCCUGCUGAACCCACAUGGGCAGAGAUGUGAAAUGAAACUGAUUCAAUCUGCUACCCCCUCCGCUGUACUCCAAAGGACUGAAAGGAAAGCCUCAAGCUUGUGCAGACCUCAACCUCAUCAAGCAACUCCUUCAAUAAAUCAGCCCUUCCCACACGUUCUGAAAUUACAUUAUCUCCUAGCCACAAGACAUUUAUGAUUCAUACAGGACAGGCUCCUUGGGAAAUGAUUACAAGCAGUCCCAUCUGCAGCAUAACACCGAAAGUCUGUACAGUCAAAGGCAGUUAAAAAACAGAUACAUCAGAGCUCCCGAAACGUGUUUCAGCAAGAAAGGAUCACAUAUUUCUCCUUCGUCAGCGGCUCAUCAGCACCAUUUUGAAUGGAGUUAUUUAUUGGUUAUUCCCGUACAAAACAGCAACCCAAAGAAACUGCCUCAAGUUACUGUUUACAGACAAUCUGUUGGAAAGACCGUGUCUGUGUACCCCUUGAGAAUCCCAUAUAUCCCACCUGUGCCAUGCUGAAAGAAACAUACCUUUUUCUUGGUCCAGAUCAACAAUUCUCUCCAGAACAACGUGAAAGACUCGUACUGCCCACGUGUAGGUGUUGGCCAUUGGGUGACCCUACAUUGGUGCUGCCCAUUCGGUGAUGAUAUUCCUGCUGGCCAUAAGAGGAGUUUGGAGGCUAACUCGUAGACACCUGCAUGUACAAAGAUCAACAUAUUGGCAGCUUCUCCUCUAAAAUGAAAUGAUUGCUUGUGAUGAAGCUGUGAUGAAGAAGCAUUUCUACACCCCUCAGUGUGCUGGUAGCAGAGUGCUGCCUCACUCCUACACAUCUCAACUCAGCUGACAAUCUCCUGCCCAGCUGUUACUUUCUCACCCAUUGCACUGUUCCAGCAGCACUACUAUUGAGUAACUCCGGUCCAAAGGAGAAUUCUGUCUGUCCUCCCCUGCAGGUUUUGAAUAGAAGGGUAGAUGUGGCACUCAGGGACGUGGUCAGUGGGUGUGGUGGAGAUGGGUUCAUGUUGGACUUGAACUUAGAGGUCUUUUCCAACCUUAGUGAUUCUGUGAUUCUAUGACUUUUCCAUAUAGAGUGCCUUCAGAGAGCAAUGGCGUUAGGGAAAGGAAGGGAGGCUGAUGAAAAGUCCACAUCUGACCUUGCAAUUGCUUUGAGUCUUCUGUAUCAUGCAAGGAAGCCAACUGACACUGGAGAAGACAAGGAGGGAAGGAGGAACAUAUGACUUACCUCCAAGGAUGCCAGCACAUUUCUGACUCACUGACAAAACUGGUUCUUAUCCAAGGUGUUCUCUGGUGUCACAUUUUUGCAAGACCUUGAGGGCACAUCCUUACACUGACAGUGCUUGGCUGAAGGAAUGUGAGAUCCAUGCUGACUCCACAGGCAGUACUACAGUGUUCCGAAGAAGUGGCUUGGAGUUGCUCUGGUGACAGAGUAACCCAUAUGUUUUAUUUGUAUUUAUAGCAUGGCUUGGGUUGGAAGGGACCUAAAAGAUCACUCCCUUGCCAUGGGCAGGGUUGCCAGCCACUAGAUCAGACUGCCCAGGAGCAAACCUUGUCUGUGCAAAUGGGCCGGUACUCACCAUAACAGGGAAUAAAGCAAAUACUAUCCCACCUGCUGCUGCUCCCACCUGCCUCUGCUUUUCUCCUCCUAUGUCCCUUGCAUUACACAAACCUGAUCCAGCAGCAGGUUCAGAGCUGAUUCUCAGGAUCGAUCCACCAAGAUGUUCCUAAGCAGAAUCAGUCAAAGCCAAGCCAAGCAUCUGCUCACUCUGUCUUUUCUCCCUCAGUGCAAAACUAGGAAUCAUUUGUGCUCUCCAGUAAGAAAAUAAAGAAAUAGAUUUACCUCAUCAGAAAAUCUUUUAAGCU
ensembl:lncRNA